rnacentral:rRNA from 1 species
UACGGAGGGAGCUAGCGUUGUUCGGAAUUACUGGGCGUAAAGCGCACGUAGGCGGCUUUGUAAGUUAGAGGUGAAAGCCCGGGGCUCAACUCCGGAACUGCCUUUAAGACUGCAUCGCUUGAAUCCAGGAGAGGUGAGUGGAAUUCCGAGUGUAGAGGUGAAAUUCGUAGAUAUUCGGAAGAACACCGGUGGCGAAGGCGGCAUCCUGGACCGGUAUUGACACUGAGGCGCGAAAGCUAGGGGAGCAAACAGG